CGACCACGCCAGGGGCGCCGCAAGGCUGAGAUGCACCCUUUGAACCUGAACCAGAUAAUGCUGGCGGAGGGAGGUCGUGACCGAACCACG
rnacentral:ncRNA from 2 species